CUGCCUCUUGCACGCCCCCCACUGGGGAUCGAGCCCACAACCUGGGCAUGUGCUGUUACCUCCUGGUUCAUAAGUUGAUGCUCAGCCACUGAGCCAUACCCACUGGGCUGUAAGUGGGUUUUUCAGGUCACAGCCAAGGACAGAGGUCUCCUUGUUUCUGUGGCUCUGAGAAGCUGGUGCACCUUCCCUUGGCCAGCAGGACGUCUUCAAGGACAAGCACGGGUGUCAGCCAGUCUCCCCGUCUGCUCAGACCCAGGGCUCCGCACAGGAAAGAGACUGAUGGCCGCUUGUCACCUUCCAAGGCAAUAACUCCUGAUGUCUUCUGCUCCGGAGGAGAGGCAGGCGGGUGAUUGAGAAGACAGCCUUUAUCUCCACUCCACGUGCUCUGCAAGGAGUGGAUUCCACGCAGUUGGGCCUCCUCUGAGAUUUCCUGCUGGUUCUGGAAUGACCUUGGGCGUCGAGGCCGACCUUCAGUGCUUUGCCCACAGGGCGGAGUGGGGGCUCGGACCCCGGCCCUGCACACACUGAGCAAUACAGUGUCUGACUCGCAGAUGCCACCAAAAGGGCGCCAGCCGCAGAGAAGUGCACAAAGUGAGAAACGAAAGCGUCUCUUCCGCGCCGCCCGCCUCCCCGAGAUGCGGUCGCUGCCUCCCCAUCAGAAAAUCACCCCAAUUACCAUCACAG